rnacentral:tRNA from 1 species
GCCGCGGUGAGGUAGCCCGGUUAGCCUUCAGGGCUGUGGACCCUGCCGCGCGGGUUCGAAUCCCGCCCGCGGCC